AACGAACGCUGGCGGCAGGCUUAACACAUGCAAGUCGAGCGAGACCUUCGGGUCUAGCGGCGGACGGGUGAGUAACGCGUGGGAACGUGCCCUUCUCUACGGAAUAGCCCCGGGAAACUGGGAGUAAUACCGUAUACGCCCUUUGGGGGAAAGAUUUAUCGGAGAAGGAUCGGCCCGCGUUGGAUUAGGUAGUUGGUGGGGUAAUGGCCCACCAAGCCGACGAUCCAUAGCUGGUUUGAGAGGAUGAUCAACCACACUGGGACUGAGACACGGCCCAGACUCCUACGGGAGGCAGCAGUGGGGAAUCUUAGACAAUGGGGGCAACCCUGAUCUAGCCAUGCCGCGUGAGUGAUGAAGGCCUUAGGGUUGUAAAGCUCUUUCAGCUGGGAAGAUAAUGACGGCACCAGCAGAAGAAGCCCCGGCUAACUCCGUG
rnacentral:rRNA from 1 species